AUUGAACGCUGGCGGAAUGCUUUACACAUGCAAGUCGAACGAUGAACCUUAGCUUGCUAAGGGGAUUAGUGGCGAACGGGUGAGUAAUAUAUCGGAACGUACCUUGUAAUGGGGGAUAACUAGUCGAAAGAUUAGCUAAUACCGCAUACGCCCUGAGGGGGAAAGUAGGGGAUCUUCGGACCUUACGUUAUAAGAGCGGCCGAUAUCUGAUUAGCUAGUUGGUGGGGUAAUGGCCUACCAAGGCGACGAUCAGUAGCUGGUCUGAGAGGACGACCAGCCACACUGGAACUGAGACACGGUCCAGACUCCUACGGGAGGCAGCAGUGGGGAAUUUUGGACAAUGGGCGCAAGCCUGAUCCAGCCAUUCCGCGUGAGUGAAGAAGGCCUUCGGGUUGUAAAGCUCUUUCGCAAGGGGAGAAAACUUACAUUCUAAUAAAGUGUGAGGCUGACGGUACCUUGAUAAGAAGCACCGGCUAACUACGUGCCAGCAGCCGCCGCAG
rnacentral:rRNA from 1 species